rnacentral:rRNA from 1 species
UACGUAGGAUCCGAGCGUUAUCCGGAGUGACUGGGCGUAAAGAGUUGCGUAGGUGGUAUAUUAAGCAAAUAGUGAAAUCAUGUGGCUCAACCAUAUGGCUAUUAUUUGAACUGAUAAACUUGAGAGCAUGAGAGGUAGAUGGAAUUUCCAGUGUAGGAGUGAAAUCCGUAGAUAUUGGGAGGAACACCGAUGGCGUAGGCAGUCUACUAGCGUGUAUCUGACACUGAGGCACGAAAGCGUGGGGAGCGAACCGG